UACGUAGGGUGCAAGCGUUGUCCGGAAUUAUUGGGCGUAAAGAGCUCGUAGGCGGUCUGUCGCGUCGGCUGUGAAAACUCGGGGCUCAACUCCGAGCUUGCAGUCGAUACGGGCAGGCUAGAGUUCGGCAGGGGAGACUGGAAUUCCUGGUGUAGCGGUGAAAUGCGCAGAUAUCAGGAGGAACACCGGUGGCGAAGGCGGGUCUCUGGGCCGUAACUGA
rnacentral:rRNA from 1 species